rnacentral:lncRNA from 1 species
UUCCCCAGGAGGCUACUGUGUUCAGGACUGACAAGACACCUGAGACAGGACACCAGAAACUUGGACAGAGGAAAAACCUAAAACCACCUAGAGCUGCAGCAUCUACAUUGGAGGAGACCUGCGAAUGAAUAAUGCUGACCAUGAAAUUAUCAUGCCAUUUUUGAAGGAGCAGCGAGUGACACACAUUCCCUGG